AAUCCAUAGAUAAAUCAUCUGCCGUAAAAAUAGCCACCCACGGUCGGAUUACGGGCCCGUAAAAAUAGCCACUGCCUAAAGAAUUUGUCAAGUUGGCAAAAUAUGGACCAUAACUGGUAGGCUGGGGCUUGUGAAACUAGAGAGGCUCCAAUUGCAAGUCAACGAACAUCAAUCAAAAUCCCUUUCUUCCCCGAAGACACUAUUAGAUAAUGAGGACAAAUUCCUCUGAUUGCUACACAGAUUCAUUUUCUUAUUUAUAUCCAGCCCCCACUACUCCUCCUAAUAAUGUUAAUUUGUCUCGUAACGUCGAGAACAACGCACUCCGGACACUGUUGAGACCACACCCCCUGAGGGAGAGGUAGCGUUUUAUCAGGUUGAAUUUAAGGACACGAGGUCUUCCAUUGCUAACACGCUGUUCAUUGAUCCAGGGUUUAGUUUCUCUAGUAUAUUCAAUGUCAGUAAUGCUCAGGGAUAUCAAGUGAGGGUAAGGACAGCAGUCCAGAGUACAGCUAAUCCUGAUGUUACUUAUGUGUACAGUCCAUACAGUAGGUGGACCUCAGUCAGUGGCAUUAUAAUAGAAGUUCCUUCUGGAGGUAAGUGCUAAAUAUUAUACAUGUAUAAUAACUAGUGUUGUUUUUAUAUCACAUUCUGCACUUUUAGUUAGUUAUAGUUAGU